GACGAACGCUGGCGGCGUGCUUAACACAUGCAAGUCGAACGGAAAGGCCUGCUUUCCCUUGUGGAUUGCGGGUACUCGAGUGGCGAACGGGUGAGUAACACGUGAGUGAUCUGCCCCCAACUUGGGUAUAAGCCUGGGAAACUGGGUCUAAUUCCCGAUAGGACUGCAGGGUGGUGCCUGUGGUGGAAAACGAUUUUCUAGUGGUUGGGGAUGAGCUCGCGGCCUAUCAGCUUGUUGGUGGGGUAAUGGCCUACCAAGGCGGCGACGGGUAGCCGGCCUGAGAGGGUGGACGGCCACAUUGGGACUGAGAUACGGCCCAGACUCCUACGGGAGGCAGCAGUGGGGAAUAUUGCACAAUGGGCGGAAGCCUGAUGCAGCGACGCCGCGUGGGGGAUGACGGCCUUCGGGUUGUAAACUCCUUUCGACCGCGAGGAAGCCACCUGGUUGGAAGGGUGGUGACGGUAGUGGUAGAAGAAGCACGGGCUAACUACGUG
rnacentral:rRNA from 1 species